UGGAUUAUUUGAAAAAAUGAAAAUCGCUCAACAAAUAUAAAUAAUUUGGUAAACUAUUGACUCUAUUAAUUGUUUUUAAUCUUAAUUUCAAUCAUUUAUUUAAUCGUGUGGUAAAAGUGAUUUACUUCUAAUGACCUGUAACCAAAAAUUGGAAUCAACUUGAUCUUGACUUUUCUUUUAAUGCUUGGCUUGGUCAAAGGCAACCUAACAAGAUAACAAAACCUGACCAACAACCAAAAUAGACACUAAUCACUAUAGUAAAUUAACUAUUCGUGAUUAUAGUAAUCCUCUACCUUUGACCAGAAGUUUGGAAAUAACAUGCAAAAAGGAAACGUUCAUUAAAACCAUAAACAGUUAGCAAUUAAAGAGGUAUUUGUUUUUUUCUUCAGCUUCUUACCGGUGACAGAAGAGGACAUAAAAAGGCCUGGAAAAACGUCAGAGUUAUCAUGAAGGAGAAGGUGAUAGAAGCAUAAUGAGUAAUGCUUUUCUCGUGAGAAAAAUUUAUUCUAAUGAUGAUGGUGUAAAGAAUGAAUAAAGCGUCAAAGCAUCACCCAUAGCUUUCUUCAGAUGAAUAUAUUAUUACCCCUGAUUUGGUUAAUGAAUCAACUCAACAAUCUACAAUAUUCAUAGUUCCAGUAAAAGCUGCCAAAUGUCAAAUGCGUAUUCAUAACACUUGAAAUGUUCAAUCAUUUUGAAAUGGGUUCAUUGAAAUGAAAUUUUACAAUUUCAUAUUGCCAUUUGAACAGUUGAACUAUUCAACGGAAAAAUCUCAACGAGAUUGAAUAAUAUUAAUAUACAGUAGAGUAAGUUAGUAAUUGAUGAAUUGAUGACCGUAAAGCGUUUCCCCAAAUUAAUUGGUUUGCCGUGUUACAAUUAAUCUUGAAAUGUCACGAGGCCAAAGAUUAUUUUGCCAUUUCUGAACUGAGCUUUCCUGAACUCCUCCUCAUCAACACUAUCAUCAAUCUGAUUCUUCAUUACUUUCAUUUUUCCUUUUCUCUUCAUUUACUGGUGUUGGGUUAACCAGUAUGGUCAAUCUGGUGGUACCAUUUCUGGUUAUCUGUAUUCAUGGCUUCAUCUCAUCUUCUGUUGCUGGUUAGAUAGCAAAUCAUUGUAGACACGAAAUGUUGAAAUUUACCAUCAGAUUACCUGUUGAUUCUGGCAACAGUAUCUUGUAACAUUUCAUGAUGAGAUUUUAAAUUGUUACAGUUAUACCUGUUGCUGUAUAUUGAUGUUGUUAUUAACAGUGUUAAUCUUUGAUCGGAUACAAAAGAAACACUUUUCAUUAUUACAAUUAAUAAGCUAUUAAUAUACACACAUCAUAAACAUACAACACACAUACACGUACAAUUUAAAAUUUUCAGAUCAUCAAAUCAUAAUUUUUACUCUUUUUUUUGUUAUCUGUAAACAAAGUCUAUUGAACUGAUUGUUGUUCAUAACAAUAGCAUACAAGCUAUUCCAAUUGAUUAUGAACCUAUUAAUGAAUCAGCUUUAAAAAAGUA